GCGGAAGUGGCGGAAUGGCAGACGCGCUAGGUUGAGGGCCUAGUGAGGGUUAACCUCAUGCGGGUUCAAGUCCCGCCUUCCGCACCA
rnacentral:tRNA from 1 species